CAGGAAGUCACAGCUGCAGAGACGGGGCCGUCAGUCCCUCUGAAGUCCGCGUGUCUGCUCAAACCGCAUUUCUCUGUGCAGUCCACUGGGGAAAACACAUGGGAAGCGAUUGAAGAAUGCUGACUCCAUAACAGCCUUUCACUCAUACUGAUGCUGCCUUUGAUAGUGCAUUUGAAUUGUUUCUAAUUACAAUGGCACUUGUGGUAUCUGCUGAGCGGAGUGGAAGCUGCAGUGAGCGCAGUGCCAAACAUAUGGAGCUAAUCAGAGCGCUGGUGCUGAUGUUUUCUUUGGGAAUGUUGACAGCCUGACAGGCAAGGCACUCUGGUGACACAGAAUCUCAGUGAAGUCGAGCAGGAAAAGAGAGAGAGAGAGUGAGUGAGUGAGUGAGAGAGCGAGAGAGAGAAAGAGAGAGAGAGA